AUGGCCUGGAUUUCACUUAUACUCUCUCUCCUGGCUCUCAGCUCAGGGGCCAUUUCCCAGGCUGUUGUGACUCAGGAAUCUGCACUCACCACAUCACCUGGUGAAACAGUCACACUCACUUGUCGCUCAAGUACUGGGGCUGUUACAACUAGUAACUAUGCCAACUGGGUCCAAGAAAAACCAGAUCAUUUAUUCACUGGUCUAAUAGGUGGUACCAACAACCGAGCUCCAGGUGUUCCUGCCAGAUUCUCAGGCUCCCUGAUUGGAGACAAGGCUGCCCUCACCAUCACAGGGGCACAGACUGAGGAUGAGGCAAUAUAUUUCUGUGCUCUAUGGUACAGCAACCAUUUC